GUGAAGAACGUAGCGAAAUGCGAUACGUAAUGUGAAUUGCAGAAUUCAGUGAAUCAUCGAAUCUUUGAACGCAUAUUGCGCUCUCUGGUAUUCCGGAGAGCAUGCUUGUUUGAGUAUCAGUAAACACCUCAACUUCCAUAUCUUUUUUGAAAUGGGAGUUGGACUUGAGUGAUCCCAACGCUUUUCCUCACCGAAAAGUGGCGGGUUACUUGAAAUGCAGGUGCAGCUGGACUUUUCUUUGAGCUAUAAGCAUAUCUAUUUAGUCUGCCUAAAAAACAGAUUAUUACCUUUGCUGCAGCUAACAUAAAGGAGAUUAGUUCUUGUGCUGACUGAUGCAGGAUUCACAAAGACAGGCUUCGGCCGACUUUGUAAACUCGAUCUCAAAUCAAGUAAGACUACCCGCUGAACUUAAGCAUAUCAAUAGCGGAGGA
rnacentral:misc_RNA from 1 species